rnacentral:lncRNA from 1 species
GUCCGUCAUCCCAAGCAGUGGCACCUUCCACGUGAAGCUGCCCAAGAAGCGCAGCGUGGAGCUGGGCAUCACCAUCAGCUAGCCCAGCAAAGGCCUGGAACACAGUAGGUGCUUAAUUCAUGUUUGUCAAAGGAAUGAAAAUGAGGAAUGCAGAAGAAAAACGUAGAAUGGGUGAGCAUGGGAAAGGUGAAAGCACUCCCGUGGCUCCCAUCUUAUUCUGAGUAAAAGCUGAGGGCCUCGGGCCCCAGUGAGGCCCUCUGUGCUCUGGACCCCAUGACCUCUGACCUCAUCUCCCGACUCUCCCCAACUCAAG